UACGUAGGGUGCAAGCGUUGUCCGGAAUUAUUGGGCGUAAAGAGCUCGUAGGCGGUUUGUCGCGUCUGCUGUGAAAACCCGAGGCUCAACCUCGGGCCUGCAGUGGGUACGGGCAGACUAGAGUGCGGUAGGGGAGAUUGGAAUUCCUGGUGUAGCGGUGGAAUGCGCAGAUAUCAGGAGGAACACCGGUGGCGAAGGCGGGUCUCUGGGCCAUUACUGACGCUGAGGAGCGAAAGCGUGGGGGAGCGAACAGG
rnacentral:rRNA from 1 species